UACGAAGGGGGCUAGCGUUGUUCGGAAUUACUGGGCGUAAAGCGCGCGCAGGCGGCUAUCCAAGUCAGUGGUGAAAGUCCGGAGCUCAACUCCGGAACUGCCAUUGAAACUGUUUAGCUUGAGGAUGAGAGAGGUGAGUGGAAUUCCCAGUGUAGAGGUGAAAUUCGUAGAUAUUGGGAAGAACACCGGUGGCGAAGGCGGCUCACUGGCUCAUUACUGACGCUCAGGCGCGAUAGCGUGGGGAUCAAACAGG
rnacentral:rRNA from 1 species